CCUACGGGCGGCAGCAGUGAGGAAUAUUGGUCAAUGGACGAGAGUCUGAACCAGCCAAGUAGCGUGAAGGAUGACUGCCCUAUGGGUUGUAAACUUCUUUUAUAAAGGAAUAAAACGAGGCACGUGUGCCUGUUUGCAUGUACUUUAUGAAUAAGGAUCGGCUAACUCCGUGCCAGCAGCCGCGGUAAUACGGAGGAUCCGAGCGUUAUCCGGAUUUAUUGGGUUUAAAGGGAGCGUAGAUGGGUUGUUAAGUCAGUUGUGAAAGUUUGCGGCUCAACCGUAGCAUUGCAAUUGAUACUGGCCGUCUUGAGUACACUUGAGGUAUGCGGAAUUCGUGGGGUAGCGGUGAAAUGCUUAGAUAUCACGCAGAACCCCGAUUGCGAAGGCAGCUUACUAACCUGUGACUGACAUUGAUGCUCGAAAGUGUGGGUAUCAAACAGGAUUAGAUACCCUUGUAGUC
rnacentral:rRNA from 1 species